CCCUCCCCUCAUCCUCCGCCCCGCGACUCCCAUCACUGCCCUGUCCCUCUCAGGGUCCUGGGGACCAUCGGCCCUGCAUUCCCUGGGCUCAGGGAGAAUCAAGAUUCUUCCUAAUCUGGAGCAAAAAGAGUAGACGGUAGGGCCCAGCUGUCCCUGCCUGCACCCAGUGGAGGUGCAAAGCUGUCCCUAAGUGGGUCUGUCCUAGCAGUGGGGCGUGCAUUGUGGGUUAUUUCCCAGAGCAACGGUGGCCUUGUGCUUAUCCAACCAUGUUCUUUUGAAACUUGACUGCAGCGAGCCGGGUUAUCCAUAUACCAGGUUGCUAGGUCAGGGAGGCCGCUACUGGGGGGCAGGGAACGCGAAGCACGCCACUGUGCCCCAGAGCACCAGUGCUCUCAAUGCCGCAGCUGACCGCUGGGAAAGGCUUCGCACAGGGCCAUGCGGGAAGGAGAUGACAGCCACAGUCCCCUGAGAUGAAGACCUGAAUGCAGAAGCUGCCGCGAAGGAGUCCCCAGAGCUUGCUGUGCGCGGUGCAGGAGGAGGAGUGUGCUGGGGGUGAGUGAGGUCUAUGGGGGUAAGCCCCCCCGCCUCCCCGUAGACCUCCUGGAAUGCCUGGAACAGCUCAGCAACCUGGGCACAGGUGGCUUGAGACAACCUAGCCAUUCGGGCCUGCUGCCAGAGUGAACGCCACAGGGAGGCCUGCCGGGUCUGGGGAGCAUGAGCUGGUCAGGCCCCCAGUAGACCCCUUGCAGGCUGAUCUCCAUCUCCAUGCAGAGUCUGUAUCCUAGAAAUCCAACCUGAGAUCCUGCGGCACCGAGAAAGGGAAGCUGUUUCAAGAGAUAGGAAUUGUCAGAAAAAGCCGGAGAAGGUGGUGUUAAAGGAAAACAUUGAGAAUGGGGAGUGAAGACGAGGGUUUUUCGUAGCAGAAGAUGGAUCUUCGAAAGCCAGGAGGCAGAGGAGAGCAACGCUGUCGGUGAGAUAAAGGAAGUUUUCAAAAACCUGCUUCUGUAACUAGUGGACAGGUCUUCUGGAUCCAAGGUCACCUGCUGGGGAGAAAGAGAAGCCUUUGGAUAAACAUCACAAGUUUUCCUGGAACAUGGAUUUUAUUUAAGAUUUUUUGGAAAGAAGGGAAUAAGGUUUUUACCUUUGUAAUGUUUUUACAAAUAUUUUCAAAAGUGUAACAUGUAUAUGUGCUCAUUUUAGAAAAUUUGAUCAGUAUAAAAUAUUAAAGAAGAAAGUAAAAGCUCAUUUGGAAUCUUAUCUGUUGGAAGGAAUCACUGUCUUGCUAUAUGUUGGUGAAUAUCCUUUUGAUGAUGUGUAUGUGUGUCAGUGUGUGUUUGUAACUUGAAUUUUUAAAGUUUGAGAAUAUAUUCUAGUCGUCUU
rnacentral:lncRNA from 10 species